rnacentral:lncRNA from 1 species
CAACAGCUGACCUGUACAGAGCACUCUGCAGUUUACAAAGCGCUUUCACACACCUUGACUCAUUUCCACCCUACGACAACCCCGUGAGGUUGGGAUUAUCAUUCCCAGUCAAGAACUGAAGAGACUGAGCCCCUGAGAGUGGCUUGUCCACUAUUGUCACUGGUAGAUGGCCAAACUGUGACCGGAAGCCUGGUCUUCCUGCUCACAGACGGAGAAGAGCGUGUCCUGGGGCCCUCUCACUACCAGGCCCUUGUCAGUUGUUACCUGCAUACGUGAGGGAAGCUGAGGCUCGCUAGGUUUGCUUAGCAAUUUGCUCAGGGUCUCCAACCAGCUGGUGAGUGCUGUCAUGAGGGGCCGAACCCAUGUGGUUCUAACUCUAAAGUCAAUGGAUACAUGAAUUUAUUCGGUGAGAUCAUCAGCCGUUUGGUCCUGUCCAAAACAUCCAUAAGACAUUUGGUCCGUGCCAAAAGGUCCUUGAUAUUUGGUCAUAUUUAUUCUUGUCCAAAAUGUCUAUGGAGACAUUAGGUCCAUGCCAAAAGGUUCUUGACAUUUGGUCCUGUCCAAAACCAUUUGGCAUGGACCAAAUAUGCUCAUGGACAUUUUGGACAGGACCAAAGCUCAAGGACCUUUUGGCGUGGACCUAAUGUCUUAUGGACGUUUUGGACAGGACACCCUGCAAGGAUUAGGAUGCAUGGCCUCCCAAAUCCCAGGUCUUCUCCUUGACCCAGAGGGACUUCUCCAUGGGCACUGAGCUGUGGCUGGUCACCCUGUUGCAGUGGUUCCUAGUCUGUCGAGAGUCAUGAUUUCCAGCAUCACCCUUACCCUCGUCAUCACUUACUAGGUGCUUACUAUAUGCCAACGUCUUCACCAGGAACAUUAUGUAACUGAUGCUCUGGGCUGAAUGGUGUCCCCUCCAAAUGCAUGUGUACCUCAGUACCUCAGAUUAUGACUGUAUUUGAAGAUACGGUCUUUAAAGAGAUAACAAAUGUAAAAUGAGGUCAUUAGGGUGGGCCCUAGUUCAAUAUGACUGGUGUCCUUAUAAGAAGAGGAAAUUAGGACAUGGACGCACACAGAGGGAGAACCAUGUGAAGACACAGGGAGAAGACGACCAUCGGUAAGUCAAGGAGAGAAGCUACACAAAGAACCAAUCCUGCCGACACCUUGAUCUUGGACCUCUGGCCUCCGGAACUAGCUGCUCCUGCGCUGUCUUGGGAGAGCCGCCCCGGAGGCGUCAGGCUUCAGGAUGGAGCAGGAAGGCCAAGUUCUCUUCCCACUCACUCACAAGCUCUUGGCUUGCAUCUGCUUUACCCUCUCGGUCCUGCCAAUGACCUCUCUUUGACAGGGAAACUGAGGCUCAGAGAGGUAAGGAGCUGGCCCAAGAGAGAUCAGCGGAGUGAACGAGUUGGGCUCUGGUGUUGGGACCUGAUUUCUAGCACCACUUUGUGCUUUUCUAAGGCCUUUGUCACUCUGAGUCCAGGCUUUACUGUCUGUAAAAUGGGACAUGGGUGCCUUGAGCCAGCGGUGGGGUCGAAGGGUGGAAGGAAAGUAUAAAGAGCCUCAUGUGGAAGAUGCUAUGACAGUAGAAGUGUACUGUCUGGUUGCUCACUGGGGACGUGGCUUCUCCAACUUGACACUUCUAGUAAUUUGGGGGUUGCUGACUCCAGGGCAUACUACUGUCCAGGACCCGGAGCCUGCAAGAGUUGCUGUGGUAUUUCUGCCAGAGAGAGGAAGAGAAGAGAGAGACAGAGACAGAGACAAAGAGAGAGACAAAGAGAAACAGAGAGACAGAGAGGGACAAAGGUAGAGAGACAGAGACAGAGACAGAGACAGAGACAGAGACAGAGGCAGAGACAGAGAGAGAAACAGAGACAGAGACAAAAAGCCCAAGACAGAGAGACAGAGACAGACAGAUGGACAGACAGAGAGACAGAGAUAGAGAGACAGAGAUAGAGAGAGAAACAGAGAGAGAGAGAAAGACAGACAGACAGACAGCGAGCAGGCGAGCAGACAGCGGCAGCUCCUGUCUCCUGGACGCGUCUGGAGGGAGCCUGUGUGGGGCUCUGACCCCAGUGCGCUCAUGCAGGACGGGAAUGAAAGUCAGCGGUGGUGUCCUGGGACGUUGCUGCAGACCUGUGGUUCGCAAGCUGGGCUGCCCGUUAGAAUCCCUGGGCAGCUUUGAAGAAUUUCCGCGUCCCGGCUGCACCUUGACCGAUGACUUUCGAGUCUCCGUGGACCGGGCCUGGGCUGCUGGUGAGGCUUCCUUCUGAAGAACUGACUUCCGGCUGCCACAGCACUAAACAUAAAAGCCAAGAGACGGUCAUAAGGAAACGGGGGCGGGGAGAGCGCGUUUGUUGGAAUCUCUUCUUCCACGGUCACACACUGGCUGAACAUAGCCUGGAGAGGGACUCGGCUCUCAAGGACACGCGUGAUUUGGACUGACGAUCCAGGUUAGACACCGGGAAUCCAGGAUAACCGCCCAUCUCCAAGUACUUAACUUUACACACAUCUGCAAAGUCCCUCUUGCCAAGUAAAGUAAUAUUUUUCACAGGCUCCAGCGACUAGGAAUGGGGGCAUCUUUGAGGGGCUGUUAUUCUGCUCACCACAAGUGCUCAGCACAGUAAGGACUUGGGGAAGGUUAGUUAUGCUGAUCUCAUCUAGGUCAUCUAGCUCAGCUGGUUCUGCUAAUGACUUGGAGAGGCAGACACUGCUACACGCCCAGAUUCUGUCACUUCCUUGCUGUGUGAACUUCGGCUGGUUACUUAGCGUCUCUGAACCUCACUUUCCUUCUCUGUAUAAUGGAGGAUAAAGUACCAAUCUUACAGUGUUGUUUGUGAUAAUAAAGUGAAAUAAAGCCGCUUAGAGCAUUGUCUGGCAUGUAGUAAGCACUAAGAGGCAUCAUCUAAAAUAAUAUUAACAACAGCAGCAUCAGUAGCAUCAUCUUCAUCUUACACGAAGGAUGUAAUCGGCCAUUCACAGUUGCAAGGUCUGUUGCAGACGCAGGCCUGUGGCUCCAAGGUCUGUGCUUUCUUCAGGAGCGAGAAAGGGACCUGUGGGCUCCUCAGGGAAGAAUGAAGGCCGGGGGUGGACUCUCCAAGAAGCAGAUUUCAGCUCAAUGAAAGAACUUUCUAUUAGGCCAGUUGUCUGGCAAAGGUGAGCCUCCUUUCCUGGGGGCUGCACAGAGACCCCCCACGGUCCCUUCUUCCAACUCCAGAGUCUCUGAGUAGGGUCUUCAGGAUGCAUUUGGCUGGCUUCCCGACCUCCUGCAGGAACGGGGCUGACCAGGUGCCGGGAGCUCCCUGUGGAGCGGGGUGGCGAGGGCUUCUGUGAGAAAGGCGUAGCUUCUGGUCUCCCCUCUGCACUCAUCUUCCAUUUCUCAGGACACCCUGUGGCUGGGCUGUUGGCAGAGGCCAUGGGAGUUCGCCAACAUACGAGCGGAAGGACAGACAUGGCAGCCCCUGCUAGAUCUUUGGUUUCUCACCCUUCAUUCUACAGAUGAGGAAACUGAGGCCCAGAGAGGUGCUGGGGUUUGCCUGAGGUCGGUCGUAAUGCAAGUGGGAAGAGACCUGGGACUGGAAUCCAGAUCUUGCAGCUCGCAGGAACAGCUUCUCUGUCCUCCAUCCCUCCCAGUACAGACGUACUGCAUGAGAGACACUGUGCCAGAUGCUCCCUUUUCAGCAGAGAAAAGAUACACACCCUCCCCUGCAUCCAAGCUCUGUGGAUUUCCUCCCCUGACAGUCCAUCCUUGGGGGCCUCCUGUCGAUCACCCCAGUGUGCCGAACGCUUUUCAGCCUCCAGGCCUUUGUCCCUGCUGUUCCUGCUGCUGGAGCCCCUUCUCCCUGCUCCGUGCAUGGCUCACUCCUUUCCUUCCCAGCACCUGGCCGGAUCCAUGGUGCCUGCCUCUUCUCUCUCUCUGGGGCUCGUUUUGCUUCCUUCGCUGGCUCCCACACAGCAGUCUGCUUGAGCUGAUUUCUUGCUCAUCAUCCGUGCCUCCUCUAGGCUCGGAGCCCCCUUAGGGCAGGGACUCUGUCACUGUUCCCACCACCAUGUCUCCACGGGCUCUGUGCUUGAAAUGUACCUGGUGACUGACUAAAUCAAUGUCUGCUUUCCAGUGGGCAAAAGAGUUAUUAACAAGGCGUCCUGCACAUGAGUAAGUAAUUAUGAAUUGUGGGAACUGCUGGGAGCGGGGUCUGCAGUGCUCCCGGGGGCCCGAUAUGUGGGGACCUGCCCCUGCUGGGUCUCCGCCAGGGCACUGAGACCUUGGGGCAGCAGUGGGUUCCUCUGAGGAGGAGCCCUGAUCCCCCAGACCAGGGCAGGCCUCCCGUCCUGUGGCUUGAUAGCUCCCUAGAGGCUUUCUUUACAGCACUCAUUGCAAUGAUACCCAUGUACACAGUUAGUUCUAUUUUUAUUGUGGUUAAAACCCCAUAGCAUACAUUUUACCAUUAGUGACAUUUAGCGCAUUCACAAUACUGCUCAAACAUCACUGCUGUCUGGUUCCAGACAUUUUUCAUCAUCUCCAAAGGAAGCCUCACACACUUUAAGCGGUCCCUUCCCGUGCUCCCACCCCGCGCCCCUGGCAACUGCUAAUCUACUUUCUGUCUCUAUGAAUUUGCCUAAUCUGGAUGUUUUAUAUUCAUCGAAUGAAAUUAGUAUUUAAAAAAAAUUUUUUUCUGUGUCAUCAUCUCCCCCAGGGUAGGAAUUGUGUCUGUCUGCCUGGCUUGCCUUUGCCGAGUUCUGGGCACAGACAAACAGCCGUGGCGGCACAGGAGGACGUUUUCUCCACCGCGCGUCUGUGAGCUCAUAGGAGGUGGGCUGUGCGUCUUAUAGGACCAGCGGCGUGCGCGUGCUCAGGUUCAGUUCCUCCAGCUGCCUCUUGCUGGAUCAAGUGUUACCUGAGGACAGUUGCUUAAUACCUCGAAGCAUCCAUUUCUUCAUCAAUAAAAAGUAGAUAGUGGUGAUGUUCGCCGCCUUGGGGUGACAUGAGGACAGAUGACCUGCCGCUGGCGCCAGGGCCUGGCCAGGAGCAGAAACUCAUGAACGUGAGCUAUUGUUAUUAUUUUCCAAGUUUUCAAUCCCAUGCUUUAGGAUAGAUAAUGAGCAGAGUCCGAACUCAGCAAAUGCAUUUUAGUUGGAAUGAUGCGUAAGAGGGUUUAAAAAUUAGGCCAGUGGACGUUCAGGUCAAAACUGCAGAUAGCUCAUUUGGGGUAAAGACAAGAAAGAGACCCCUUGCAUUAGCUUUUGCUAAGUUAUUCUACGAUGAUGAACAUCAACAACCUGGCAGAGGCUUACAGCCAUAGGGGUUGGCUUUGCUUUCUUUGUGGGUCCCUGUGGACCAGUUGUGGCUCUGCUCCUGUGUCUUUUCAUUCCAGGGUCCAGGCUGAGGAAGCUGACCUCACAUCUGGGAUGUGCCACUCCUGUGCCAGAGGGAAGAGGCAGGGAUGGCUGACAUCGUUACCACUCACAUCCGGAGGCUACGCCCAUCACAUUGCCAAGCUUGGUGUCUGGGGUGGGGGCAGGGCAGGGACUGUACUGCCCUCCUCCAAGCGGGCACCGCAGGUAGCCGAGCAGGGAGUAGGGAUGGAUAAUCCUCUCCCAGGGAGGGCAGCCAAUAACUGGGAAUAAUCAUAGGCGGGCCACCCUCUGCCCUGAGAGCUUUAGUUAUUUUGGGGGCGUGGUCUGACGCAUCUCUUCAGCUCGCUCACUUCAGUGCUCCACCUACAACCCAGCACCAUCACCCUAGGAGAUUUGGGGGGCUGUCAACUAAGAAUGGGUACAGUGAGUGGUCUGUGAGGGUCUCUUGCUCUGCAGAUUUGGUCCAUACACUGAAACCUAUGAAACCCCCUUCUUGGCAGUGUUAUCUAUGGUAGUAGAAAACGAGGAAUAGCCUAAAUAUCCCUCAAUAGGGGAAUGACAAGUGAACAGUGUUUUGUUCAUGCAAGGGCAUCUCUACUACCAUUGAAAUAGAUGAACCACAGCUAAAUAUUAAAUUGGAAGACUCUCCAAAAUGUAAUGGUGAGUGGAAAAAGCAGAUGUAGGAUGAUAUCAAUAGAAAAACAUGCAGUCUUUGAAACAGGGAAUUCCUCAAAAUGUUAAACACUGAGUUACCAUAUGACCCGGUAAUUCUGCUCCUAGGCAUACACCCAAGAGAAUUGAAAACACUUGUCCACACCAAAACUUGCAUAUGAAUGUUCAUGGCAGCAUUAUUCAUAACAGCCAAAAAGUGGAAACAAUUGAAAUGCCUACCAAUAGACGAAUGGAUAAAAAAAUGUGGUAUAUCCACGAAAUGGAAUACAAUUCAGCCAUAGAAAAGAGUAAAGUAUUGAUACAUGUUGAGAGCUUUCGCCUUUUCGCUUAAAGGAAGCACUGUUUGGCUUCUCUUUGGCAACUCCGAACUACCAGCAUCCCUGCUCUUGCACUUGGAGGAGGUAAAAUAAGGGUGACUUGAACGUGAGCACUGUGACACAGUGACAGUCAAUCUGAUACCGAGCUGGCUACUAAGUGACUGACGGGCGGUAGCGUAUAGAGCGUGGAUACGCUGGACACAGGGAUGGUUCACAAUCCGGGCGGGAUGGAGCAGAAUGGCGCGAGAUGUCGUCACAUUACCCAGAACGACAUGCAAUUUAAAACUUAGGAAUUGUUUACUUCUGGAAUUUUCCAUUUAAUAUUUUCAGACCGUGGUUGACCGCAGGUACCUGAAACCUCAGAUGAGGGGACUACUGUACUUGAAAAUGAUUAAAAUGGUCAGUUUUAUUAUGAGUAUUUUACCAAAACAAGAAAAACACAUACAGAACAACGCAUAUGUAGUGUGUAUGGAACUGCGUAUACCCAUAUCAGAAGAGUGGUUAUCUCUGGGGAGCGAGGAAGAGGAGCAGGAGGGUGGGCGGAUGGUGAAGUGACUGUGACAUUUUAUUGCCUUAAAAUGCCCUGAAGCGUAAAAUAUCAACAUUUAUUGACCUGGGUUAGAGUGUGAGUAUUUAUUGUAUGAUUCUCCGCAAUUUACUCAAUAUUUGAAAUAGAUCAUAAUUAAAAGAGAAAAAAGCCCAGAGGCUUUG